CUUUGUUCUUAAAGGAGUGCUCAACGAGACUGUCUUCGAUCAUCUUCUCUAACAUCUUCUUUUCCUUCUCCUGCCAGAUCUCCACCUGAUGCCUCCCCAAAAGGCCUCCACCAGGUGAUCCACGACCUCCGCGGCCAGAUCUCAACGAGCUCCGCAAGCUCCGACCUCGUCUCCAGUUUUUCAAGCUCCUCCUCCUCCGGCAAUGGC
rnacentral:lncRNA from 1 species